rnacentral:rRNA from 1 species
AACGAACGCUGGCGGCAGGCCUAACACAUGCAAGUCGAGCGGGGGAGCAAUCCCUAGCGGCGGACGGGUUAGUAACGCGUGGGAACAUACCCUUUGGUACGGAAUAGCCUCGGGAAACUGAGAGUAAUACCGUAUGUGCCCUUCGGGGGAAAGAUUUAUCGCCAAAGGAUUGGCCCGCGUUGGAUUAGGUAGUUGGUGGGGUAAUGGCCUACCAAGCCUACGAUCCAUAGCUGGUUUGAGAGGAUGAUCAGCAACACUGGGACUGAGACACGGCCCAGACUCCUACGGGAGGCAGCAGUGGGGAAUCUUAGACAAUGGGCGCAAGCCUGAUCUAGCCAUGCCGCGUGAGCGAUGAAGGCCUUAGGGUUGUAAAGCUCUUUCAGAUGGGAAGAUAAUGACGGUACCAUCAGAAGAAGCCCCGGCUAACUCCGUGCCAGCAGCCGCGGUAAAGUGACUACUG